UUGCUGAAGUAAAUAUAGUACUGUGUCUGGAUCCCUGUCACAGAUCCCCUGAAUCUCAGGCAGGUGUUGCUCUGUGGAAGGGCUGUACUUCUGAGAAAGGGGGCUCUGGCCCUCUGCAUCCUCUGCAGAGGAUUUGUGAGAUGCCUGAAGAUGGGCAGCUAUAUCCUUGUCUGUGUUCUGCUGGGCUUUCAAUCUUUCUUCACGCUGGGCCGUUUUCCAUCUCUCUUGGAUGAGGAGGAGCUGUUUCAUGUGGCUAUCCCUUUGCAAUUCCAGUGAAAGAUGAGCCUGCUCAGAUUGUGUCAGCUUCAUGGCUUCAGAAAGAUAUGCCGCAGCCUUUUUGUAAGAAGAAAUAGCCUCUUCGUAUUUGCCUGCAGCUAAUGAAUGGUCUGCUCAUCAGGGACAUGGAUGAAUCUGGAAACCAUCAUUCUCAGCAAACUGACACAAGAACAGUAAAACAAACACUGCAUGUUCUCACUCACAGGCGGGUGUUCAACAAUCAGAACACAUGGACACAGGGAGGUGAGCAUCACACAUUGGGGUCUGUUGAGGGGGGAUGGGGAGGGGCAGCGGGGAGUACUGAGGUUCAGAAGGGAUAACAUGGGGAGAAAUGCCAUAUAUAGGUGAUGGGUGGGAUGGAGGCAGCAAACCCCACUGCCAUGUAUGCACCUGUCCAACAGUCCUGCAUGUUUUACACAUGUAACCCAGAACCUAAAGUGCAAUAAAAUAUAUUUUAAAAAUACAUGUGUAGAUGACCAGUGUGGAAAUAGGGAUGAAGGAAUAUACUAG
rnacentral:lncRNA from 1 species